rnacentral:rRNA from 1 species
CUAAUACCGGAUAAGCCCUUACGGGGAAAGAUUUAUCGCCGAAAGAUCGGCCCGCGUCUGAUUAGCUAGUUGGUGAGGUAAUGGCUCACCAAGGCGACGAUCAGUAGCUGGUCUGAGAGGAUGAUCAGCCACAUUGGGACUGAGACACGGCCCAAACUCCUACGGGAGGCAGCAGUGGGGAAUAUUGGACAAUGGGGGCAACCCUGAUCCAGCCAUGCCGCGUGAGUGAUGAAGGCCCUAGGGUUGUAAAGCUCUUUUGUGCGGGAAGAUAAUGACGGUACCGCAAGAAUAAGCCCCGGCUAACUUCGUGCCAGCAGCCGCGGUAAUACGAAGGGGGCUAGCGUUGCUCGGAAUCACUGGGCGUAAAGGGUGCGUAGGCGGGUCUUUAAGUCAGGGGUGAAAUCCUGGAGCUCAACUCCAGAACUGCCUUUGAUACUGAGGAUCUUGAGUUCGGGAGAGGUGAGUGGAACU